rnacentral:rRNA from 1 species
AUGGGGGAGGAGGCCGGCGACGGCUACGGCCACGGCACGCCACCGGAUGCGCUCACGGCCAUCGUCGUCAAGGGCAAGCGCAGCAAGCGGCGCCGCGUGCACGCCGCCGCGGUGAUCGCGGCCGCGGAGGCCGAGGUGACCGCGGUCACCACGGCCAGCGCCGCGGGAGAGGUGGCGUCGUCGUCGUCCUCGGUGGCGGAUGGCGGCGGGUGGCGGUCUGGCGCGGAUGAGGCGGCCUCCGGGUGCGUCACCGAGGAGGAGGAGGACAUGGCGCUCUGCCUCAUGCUGCUCGCGCGCGGCGGCGGCGGGCAAGGAAGCAGGGCCGGGGCGUCGUCCGCGUCGUCGUCGGUGGUGGUGAGGGAUGACGUCGCGGAGUCCACGGCGGGGGUGAUGGCGGUGGCCACGGCGCGGGAGGGCAAGUUCCGGAGCCGGCGCCCGGCGGACGGCGGCGAGGGGGAGUUCGUGUACGAGUGCCGGACGUGUGGCAAGUGCUUCCCGUCCUUCCAGGCGCUCGGCGGCCACCGCACCAGCCACAAGAAGCCGCGUCUCCCGCUCCCGCCCACCACCGCGGCGACGGCGUCGUCGUCCGAGGAGAAGAAGCUGCCCGCCGACGAGAAGACGCCACCACCGCCUUCGUCGCCGUCGCCGGCCGCUGCCGUGGAUCGGACGGUGCUGGCGAUCCCGGUCCCGGCGACGCCGCCGAAGCAAGAAGGGGCGGCCACGGCGACCGUCGUGUCGUCGUCGAAGCAGCAGCAACAGCAGCAGGGGCAGGGGAGGGUGCACGAGUGCUCCAUCUGCGGCGCGGAGUUCGGGUCCGGGCAGGCGCUGGGCGGGCACAUGCGGCGCCACCGCCCGCUCCUGCCGGCGUCGGCGUCCGUCUCUUCCACGGACGGCGUGGCGGCGGUGCUGGUGAUCAGGAAGGAGAAGAGCCCGCUGGAGCUGGAUCUCAACAUGCCGGCGCCCUGCGACGACGCGGCCGCCACCGAGGCUACCUCGCCAUCGCCCUUCUCCUUCUCCGUGAAGGAGCGGCCGUCUGCCCCGGCGGCGCUGCUGCCGUUCCCGGCGCCGGCGUCGGCCCUGGUGGACUGCCAUUACUAG